rnacentral:misc_RNA from 1 species
AAGUCGUAACAAGGUUUCCGUAGGUGAACCUGCGGAAGGAUCAUUAACACUUAUUAUUAUCCAAUAUCAACAAUAAAACCAAACGGUCACUUAUCUUCUCCCUAUUUCGCUUACCGGAGACGGUGCGAUUAGGCUAACCUUUUUUUAAAACAUUUUAACCCCAUUUCAUUUUUUAUAUUUUUAUUAAUAUAAGAAAAACCAACUCUUCGAUUUGUUUUUAUUUGCAAAAACAAAAACAAAACGAACUAAACUAAAAUAUACAUUCGAUAUAUUUUUAUUUUACGAAAUAAUAUAUAUUUAUAAGAACAACUCUUAGCAAUGGAUAUCUUGGUUCUC